rnacentral:rRNA from 1 species
GAUGAACGCUGGCGGCGUGCCUAAUACAUGCAAGUCGAGCGAACGGACGAGAAGCUUGCUUCUCUGAUGUUAGCGGCGGACGGGUGAGUAACACGUGGAUAACCGACCUAUAAGACUGGGAUAACUUCGGGAAACCGGAGCUAAUACCGGAUAAUAUUUUGAACCGCAUGGUUCAAAAGUGAAAGACGGUCUUGCUGUCACUUAUAGAUGGAUCCGCGCUGCAUUAGCUAGUUGGUAAGGUAACGGCUUACCAAGGCAACGAUGCAUAGCCGACCUGAGAGGGUGAUCGGUCACACUGGAACUGAGACACGGUCCAGACUCCUACGGGAGGCAGCAGUAGGGAAUCUUCCGCAAUGGGCGAAAGCCUGACGGAGCAACGCCGCGUGAGUGAUGAAGGUCUUCGGAUCGUAAAACUCUGUUAUUAGGGAAGAACAUAUGUGUAAGUAACUGUGCACAUCUUGACGGUACCUAAUCAGAAAGCCACGGCUAACUACGUG